CAUUAAAAAUUUCAUUUAAUUAUACUGUUAAAAAUUUACGUGAUUAAGAAUAACCAAACAAUUGACAUGUUAUAUGUACCUCAUUUUGAUGUAUAGGAAUCAAUUUUUUAACCAUAAAAAUGAAUGAGAUUUUUGACA
rfam:Gossypium raimondii Chr13_contig_1284, whole genome shotgun sequence.